rnacentral:rRNA from 1 species
UACGUAGGGUGCAAGCGUUGUCCGGAAUUAUUGGGCGUAAAGAGCUCGUAGGCGGUCUGUCGCGUCGGAUGUGAAAACCAGAAGCUCAACUCCUGGCCUGCAUCCGAUACUGCCCGACUAGAGGUAGGUAGGGGAGAUCGGAAUUCCUGGUGUAGCGGUGAAAUGCGCAGAUAUCAGGAGGAACACCGGUGGCGAAGGCGGAUCUCUGGGCCUUACCUGACGCUCAGGUGCGAAAGCUAGGGGAGCGAACAGG